UUCAGUGUCAUUUGAAAUAAUCAAAUUUAAAAAUAAAUCAAGUGAAAGUUUUUUUAUUCUGUUUUAAAUAAAUAAAUGCACAAAACGUCUCAUCUCGUCUCGUCUCGUCUCGUAACCGUCUCACACCAAAUCAAACGCACUGCUCAUAAGUUCAGUUUCCUCCACUUACGAUGCUAAAAAGUCAAAAACGAACGGAGAUCAUCAGUUACACAGUCCCAGUCCCGUUUUGGUAUAAGACUGUAACAUAACAAAAUGUAGGAAAAGUGAAGCGCUGUAAACACUUUUCAGAUGCGCUGUAGCUCUGCAUCAGCUCCCCCUAUUGGUGAUCUGGGUAAUUCAUUUCCUGUUUAGCACAGAAUCCAGGAAGUGUUAUGAGCUAGGAUUACUGUGUAGCUUCUUUUAGCAAUCUUCCUCACUGCUUCUUCAAACCACAAUGAACAGAACCGUGAGGGAGAUGAGCACCUCCUUCUUCACAGGUCCUUCAAAUCCGCAGACUUCCAAGACUUUCUUCAUCAGGAGAACGUGAGGAGAUGAUGGAGUCUCCUCUUGCGCUGUCACGUCACUUUUCCCAUCAACAAUUCUGAGGUUUUCUUUCAGAUGACAAAAAAAAGUCCAGAAUGGAUCAAAACUACACGUCAGGAUUAAGAUCCAUCAGGUGAUGAUGCUCAGGAGGAUGUUAUUAGACAGAAUAAUAACAGAGUGGUGGAUGGAGUGAAGACACAGUCAUUCAGUGUGCAGGAUUUUUAAUGGGAAAAUGUGACGGCCCCACCUCCCCCACCCACCCACAAAAAAAAAAAAAACUAAAUUACAUUCUAUAUUAUUGUACAUUCUAAAUGAUUGUCUAUACAGUAAACUGUAAUAUAAAUCUAAAUCUAUU